GUCCUUGGCUCCAAGUGGAGGAAGGUUGUGCCAACCCCGAUUUGGGCGAUGCCCGUUUGGCUCUUUUUCGCUCCUGACCGAGUCCCGCGACUUUUUGCCCCACGCUCACCAUUCUCCCUCCGGGGUGCAGGACACUAAAGACACAGGAACGAGUGUGAAAUGUGACGUCGCGUCUCUCCCAAGAGACCCUGCGGUCCUCAAAGGAGGGUCACACGCCUCCCAGUAAAAAGUUUUUAAGGCCCGCCCAUCUCCCCAGCUUCCCUACGCCUCUUUUCCUGCGAGGUUUCCUGGCGCAAAACUGGAUCCCCCAGCACAGAGCCCGGGCGUUUCCAGGGACAUUCUCAGGAAAAGCUGCCAUAUGAUGAAGUAACGCUCGUGUCUCCUGGGCAUCCUUGGGCCCGGAGUUUACUUUGACAUCACGCGGGCCUGUUUCAGGAAGAAGAAAGAGCUUCUGUAAGAUAGGAAGACAAUAGGUACCGAGGAAGAAGGGGGUUUCGCAAAAGCCUGUGAUGUUAAGCGCAGGGCCCUGACCUUGCCCUGCAAACCUGGGAGGGAGGUGGCUUGUUUUUCCGUCGCAUGUGGGCUCUAUCCCGCUGCCCUCGCAGGACCCUCGCCGCGUCCAGACCGAGAGGCCGGAGUGCGGGUCUCAGGAGCCCCGAACGCUGUGGCGGGACCCGGGCAGGUCCUGGUGGGAAGGGGGUCUGAGGUGCUUUGUGAGGACAAAGGAGAGGGUCUGUCGGGUUCAAGGGAGGACUUUGAAGGUUCAGGCUUAAUCUUGAACGUGAACCAGCUCAGAGGUAGGAGCAGGAAGAGAGGACUCUGGGGAGGAAACUUCAAGGGAGAAGGUGCAUGGAAGGGCCCCGAGCUUUCAGAGCAUGCCGGGGGAGGGCGGGGCUGGGAUUACAUCCCCACACAGGUGGGGUCAGAGCAGCACGGGCCCCUCGCCCACACUGACGGUGGUGCUUGCACCUGGAAAUAAACCCGAUGAAAGAGUGAUUUUCUUCCUGGCCGCACCCUCCCCAUCCCUCACCCCUGCAGCGGUAACCAGUGACCCUGACGGCUCAGCCUGCGGGGGCCCUGCUUCUCUGUUUCUCACACGCAGGCAGGCUCACCCUGCAGCCGCACAAUCAUAAGGCCCGGCUUGUGUGCAUCCGACUUCAAAUCCCAGACCCUUUCUCGUCCGCACGCCGUUUGGGGGCCCGCGCUCUGGGCGCCCCUGCUCGGUCCCCAGACGGGCUUCAGGCUGCACUUCCACUCAUCGCCACCGGAGGCACUGCAUCGGCCACGGGUGCCACGAGGGGGUGUGACCUGUGGCCUGCCUGAGUCAGCCAGCGCGUGGGGCACCGACGCCUCACGCUUGGGCUGCAACUGCCUCCGUGGCCACGCCGCACGGGAGCUGUGCCGGCUGCCUCUAGGAGUCAAGAUUCUGCCUGGACGCCAGCUGUGGCUGUCACUUCCCGGCCGAGCGUCACUGAGCGGCUUUCCUCCUCCACCCCGUCCCCCGCUCCUCGGCCGCUCCCAAUGAGAACACACAGAAAGUGCUUAGUGGUGAACCCGCUCCGGGCACAAAGGGGCGAAUGUUGGCUGUUGACUGUCGUUGACGUAACGGGAAUGCGGUCCCUGUCCCCCAGGAGCCGCGGCCAGGAGGAAGCCUGCGGUUAAAAAGGAAAAUGCAAUGCGGUCUGAUGAGUCAGCUGAAGACCGGAAAGAGGAGCAGAGGCCCGGAGGCCGGGUGGGCCAGGAGGGGCGGGCUAGGCACAGGGCACUUGCCCAGGCCUGCCCCCCGCCCCCAUCACAGCCGGGGAGGCGGCAGCGGUCGGGCCGGGUGACCGGAGUGUCCUCUCCAGCCUCACUGCACACCUGCUGUGGGGCGUGCCCCCCGAGGCCGUAAAAGGCCUAGAUGCCAUUGCAACGUUGGGGGCUUUCGUCCCGUUGGGGGCCGUGAGGGCUGCAGGGACCCUCUCCGACCGACACGUCUUCUCUUGCUCGUGUUGCUGAGACAUCGAAGAACAAGGAAGGAGAAAGGGGAAAACAAAACACAAGGUGGGCAAGGGUCGUGGGUCUGGGCACGCGCUGGGCACGACGGGAGCCGGGGACCUCGGGAGUCAGAGUGCGCUCUGGAGAGCGGGGGCUCUGCUCUUGCCUCCUGCUCCGCACUUGUCUGUGGCUCCCGCCGGACACCAGGCCCAGUCUUGCUCCUUCCCUGCUUGCUGCCAGCCGCGGGCCGAGUCCUGCCGGAACACAGUGGACGUCAAGGACCGGCGUCCUGGGGACCCGCUCAUGCCGGUGACCUUGCUGGCUCGUUACCGUUCUUUCCGACGGCAGAGGUACCCUCACGUGACCGUGACAUCUGAAGCAGGGCUACAGAAUAAGUAGAUCAGAUGUCUUUAGACCCAUUUUACAGAUUGGGAAAGCGAGAUUGAAAGACACAUAGUCUCGCGUGUUCUUCCCCCUGAGAAAACGACACAGCCAGCACUCGGCUGAUGCUUGACUUGAAUUCCGUGGUUUCCCAUGAUUCCCCACUUAAAAUAAUUCUGCAAAGCAUCAUGUGCUACUUGGCGUUUCGUCGUAUUAAACGCAGAUCUGGCCGCUAUCGUGGGGUAGACGCGUGUCAACUAGAGAUCUAUCGGAAGCUCCCAUUAUUGAGAAAUAAUGAGACAUUUCCAUCAAGCUGUAUUUGAGGCUGCCCUCUACUUGUAGGAGAAAGACACACAUCAUGUGAUCACGGACGUAUCUUGAGUCCCCCACAUCAGUCCGGUCCAGUGUCAGCUUCUGGGGUUAGGCGAACCCCGUUCUGCACUUCAGUGGCGGCCCCGGAGCAGGGACGGUCAAAACACAGGAGCAAAUCCACGCAGGACGCGCUGUCAGUAGAUGCGCAGCUCCGUUGGCCCACAGCGAUCGGUGUGCCGGAAAGAGACGGUUUUUAAGCAAAAAUGUGCAAAGUGAUGAUUCCACCGUGCCUUUAGUUCCUGUAAAAUGGGCCCAUCUGGGCUCAUUCAGACUUCAACAUGAGCAAAGGUUGUCUGGAAAGUGUUUCCUUUCCCACAAUGUCAGAAAAUAAGACAGAGCUUGGGAUAACAUGGGCCCACAUGUAAACCCUUGAGCUUUGGUUAUUUAAAAAUAACGACCCUUAAAUACACA